rnacentral:rRNA from 1 species
CCUACGGGAGGCAGCAGUGAGGAAUAUUGGUCAAUGGGCGCGAGCCUGAACCAGCCAAGUAGCGUGAAGGAUGACUGCCCUACGGGUUGUAAACUUCUUUUAUAAGGGAAUAAAGUGUUCCACGUGUGCCUUUUUGUAUGUAUUUUAUGAAUAAGGAUCGGCUAACUCCGUGCCAGCAGCCGCGGUAAUACGGAGGAUCCGAGCGUUAUCCGGAUUUAUUGGGUUUAAAGGGAGCGUAGGUGGGUUGUUAAGUCAGUUGUGAAAGUUUGCGGCUCAACCGUAAAAUUGCAAUUGAUACUGGCAGUCUUGAGUACAGUAGAGGUAGGCGGAAUUCGUGGUGUAGCGGUGAAAUGCUUAGAUAUCACGAAGAACUCCGAUUGCGAAGGCAGCCUACUAAACUGCCACUGACACUGAGGCUCGAAAGUGUGGGUAUCAAACAGGAUUAGAUACCCGGGUAGUC